AUGUUCUUGGUUGGUGUAGGUUGUCUCCAACUCCUGUCCAACGGUCUGAGUCGGCUGCGUAUCCUUUUUUGAAAAUUCAAAUAUCAAAUCGAUUGAGGGGCAGAAUAUAUUUGAAUUUGACUCACAAUUUCAAUCAUUCUCUGCAUGUGGGUUUGGGGGCCAGACAACUUGAAUUUGGACUCCACUGUGCACAGCUCAAUCAUACCUGGAAAUAGAACGUGCAUGUGUUAUUGGCCGUCCACGUGUCCACCAUCAACGGCUCCCAGCAUCCCUCUGGGUCCUUAUAAUCUGGAAACAAAAAUUUUGACAGGGAGGAUCAUUUGUUCUCUUCCCCCCCUUCCGUUCAUAUAUAAGUUGCAUUCAUUUCUUGCUUAGGACCCAACAAACAUAGGAACAUCCCAAAUCUCUCUAAUUUUUCAAGAAAGGGAAAAUUAAAGGAUAUGGAGAUGAUGAGAUUGUGGGCUGUGAUGACAAUCUUUGCUCUUGUUUUGGCCUUGGUAGCUCCGACAAAUGGCCAAGUCCCUGCGCCGGCACCCGCCCCUUCAAGCGAUGGGGUAGCAAUUGAUCAAGGAAUAGCAUAUGUGCUAAUGCUGGUUGCUUUGGCCAUCACCUACAUCAUUCAUUGAUCACAAACUAUUUGUAUAGCGCUAGACACAUUGAUUUCUGAGCUGGAUUGCUUAUUUCUUACAUGUGAUUCAAACCCUACAUCAAUUCUUUCUGAAAUUGGAUUUGUUUUCUUCUUCUGUUGUUUCUGCCCAUUUCUCUAUUCUUUUCUCAUUCUUUCUUCCUAUGUAGAAGAGAACCGGUUCAAAUGUUUUGAUGACUUC